GGAAUAUUGCACAAUGGGGGGAACCCUGAUGCAGCGACGCCGCGUGAGUGAAGAAGUAUUUCGGUAUGUAAAGCUCUGUCAGCAGGGAAGAAGAAAGACGGUACCUGACCAAGAAGCCCCGGCUAACUACGUGCCAGCAGCCGCGGUAAUACGUAGGGGGCAAGCGUUAUCCGGAUUUACUGGGUGUAAAGGGAGCGUAGACGGCAGGGCAAGUCUGGAGUGAAAGGCAGGGGCCCAACCCCUGGACUGCUCUGGAAACUGUCCGGCUGGAGUGCAGGAGAGGUAAGUGGAAUUCCUAGUGUAGCGGUGAAAUGCGUAGAUAUUAGGAGGAACACCAGUGGCGAAGGCGGCUUACUGGACUGUAACUGACGUUGAGGCUCGAAAGCGUGGGGAGCAAACA
rnacentral:rRNA from 1 species